UCUCUCACAGUGCUCCACGCGAAUUUGAGAAUGUCGCGGGAGUCCAACCUCAGCAACGCGGACACAUUUCCCUGUCUCGUUUCUGCGCUCACCGCUGCACCACACUUCCAGUGUUUGCCCAGAAUGGGGCAGCAAGAGGGAGGCUCCUUUGUCCCGUGAGGAAUUUGGGGAACGCGCAUCAUUUCCUGCCAGGUCCGUGCUGAUGGCAAUCUGUCUCUGAGUUCUGCGGCAGCCUCAAGAGAAGUACAGCCUAAGCCCAAGCUGGAAACGUUCGAUGGCUGAAAUUUAUUGUGCUUUGGGCCAAUGUUCAUGCAUUUGCAAUGAUGUCAGAGUCCUGAACAAUCACUUUAUGUCCUGCGGAGACUGAGUGAAGUCAGUGCCCUGUGGAACACCAGUUACGUUUUUCUCUUGGAACAAAGGUGGGCAAUGUUAGAAGACUCAGAACCCUGAAGAGUUCCUGCCCUUGCCCCAAACCUCCAAAACAGCACCAGCUGCCUACACAGCUAAGAAAGCUGGGUGAGGGACCAGCAGGUGGCACGGUGGUUGAGGCGCUGAACUCCCACAUGGCUGAUCAUGGUUCAAGUCCUGGAGCUGGUGGCUUGCUUUCUCACUUUUCCUCUCUCUCCAUGUUUCU